AUUUGUGACAAGGACUGAGGCAAACUUGUAGAGCUGAUACCUCUGAAGUCCCAGACCUACCAGGAGUUGUAGGUGCAGUGUGAGCAGUGGUAUAAGAUUCUUGCCCCGUGUCUUGCUCUCCAUGAUGGACUCGAUCCUUGGACUCUAAGGUCAAAUAAACUUUCUUGCCAAAGUG